rnacentral:rRNA from 1 species
UACGGAGGGGGCUAGCGUUGUUCGGAAUUACUGGGCGUAAAGCGCACGUAGGCGGCUUUGUAAGUUAGAGGUGAAAGCCCGGGGCUCAACCCCGGAAUUGCCUUUAAGACUGCAUCGCUAGAAUUGUGGAGAGGUAAGUGGAAUUCCGAGUGUAGAGGUGAAAUUCGUAGAUAUUCGGAAGAACACCAGUGGCGAAGGCGACUUACUGGACACAUAUUGACGCUGAGGUGCG